UACGGAGGUGGCAAGCGUUGUCCGGAAUUAUUGGGUGUAAAGCGCGCGCAGGCGGAUCAGUCAGUCUGUCUUAAAAGUUCGGAGCUUAACCCCGUGAUGGCAUUGAAACUGCUGAUCUAGAGUAUCGGAGAGGAAAGUGGAAUUCCUGGUGUAGCGGUGAAAUGCGUAGAUAUUAGGAAGAACACCAGUGGCGAAGGCGACUUUCUGGACGAAAACUGACGCUGAGGCGCGAAAGCAAGGGGAGCGAACAGG
rnacentral:rRNA from 1 species